rnacentral:rRNA from 1 species
CUGGAUAAGAAGCGCCGGCUAACUACGUGCCAGCAGCCGCGGUAAUACGUAGGGCGCGAGCGUUGUCCGGAAUUAUUGGGCGUAAAGAGCUCGUAGGCGGCUGGUCGCGUCUGUCGUGAAAUCCUCUGGCUUAACUGGGGGCUUGCGGUGGGUACGGGCCGGCUUGAGUGCGGUAGGGGAGACUGGAACUCCUGGUGUAGCGGUGGAAUGCGCAGAUAUCAGGAAGAACACCGAUGGCGAAGGCAGGUUACUGGGCCGUUACUGACGCUGAGGAGCGAAAGCGUGGGGAGCGAACAGGAUUAGAUACCCUGGUAGUCCACGCCGUAAACGAUGAGUGCUAGGUGUUAGACCCUUUCCGGGGUUUAGUGCCGCAGCUAACGCAUUAAGCACUCCGCCUGGGGAGUACGACCGCAAGGUUGAAACUCAAAGGAAUUGACGGGGACCCGCACAAGCGGUGGAGCAUGUGGUUUAAUUCGACGCAACGCGAGGAACCUUACCAGCGUUUGACAUCUUAGGAAUGAGAUAGAGAUAUUUCAGUGUCCCUUCGGGGAAACCUAAAGACAGGUGGUGCAUGGCUGUCGUCAGCUCGUGUCGUGAGAUGUUGGGUUAAGUCCCGCAACGAGCGCAACCCUUGUCUUUAGUUGCCAUCAUUAAGUUGGGCACUCUAAUGAGACUGCCGGUGACAAGCCGGAGGAAGGUGGGGAUGACGUCAAGUCCUCAUGGCCCUUAUGACCAGGGCUUCACACGUCAUACAAUGGUCGGUACAGAGGGUAGCCAAGCCGCGAGGUGGAGCCAAUCUCACAAAACCGAUCGUAGUCCGGAUUGCACUCUGCAACUCGAGUGCAUGAAGUCGGAAUCGCUAGUAAUCGCAGGUCAGCAUACUGCGGUGAAUACGUUCCCGGGUCUUGUACACACCGCCCGUCACACCAUGGGAGUGGGGGAUACCAGAAGUAGGUAGGGUAACCGCAAGGAGCCCGCUUACCACGGUAUGCUUCAUGACUGGGGUGAAGUCGUAACAAGGUAGCCGUAGGGGAACCUGCGGCUG